UACAGAGGGUGCAAGCGUUGUUCGGAAUUAUUGGGCGUAAAGCGCGUGUAGGCGGCUUUGCAAGUCGGGUGUGAAAGCCCUUGGCUUAACCGAGGAAGUGCAUCCGAAACUGGCGAGCUAGAGUACUAAAGAGGAUCGCGGAAUUCCCGGUGUAGAGGUGAAAUUCGUAGAUAUCGGGAGGAACACCGGUGGCGAAGGCGGCGAUCUGGGUAGAUACUGACGCUGAGGUGCGAAAGCGUGGGGAGCAAACAGG
rnacentral:rRNA from 1 species